UACGAAGGUCCCAAGCGUUAUCCGGAUUUAUUGGGUUUGAAAGGGUGCGUAGGCGGGUUAUUAAGUCAGUGGUGAAAGCCUACGAGCUUAAACCUGUAGAACUGCCAUUGGAUACUGAUGAUCUUGAGUACGAUUGAGGUAGGCGGAAUGUGUCAUGUAGCGGUGAAAUGCUUACGAUAUGACACAGAACACCUAUGGCGAAGGCAGCUCGCUGGGACGUUACUGACGCUGAGACGCGAAAGCGUGGGGAGCAAACAGG
rnacentral:rRNA from 1 species